rnacentral:rRNA from 1 species
GACGAACGCUGGCGGCGUGCUUAACACAUGCAAGUCGAACGAUGAAGCCUAGCUUGCUAGGUGGAUUAGUGGCGAACGGGUGAGUAAUACGUGAGUAACCUACCUUUAACUCUGGGAUAAGCCUGGGAAACUGGGUCUAAUACCGGAUACGACCAAUCUCCGCAUGGGGUGUUGGUGGGAAGCGUUAUGUAGUGGUUAUAGAUGGGCUCACGGCCUAUCAGCUUGUUGGUGAGGUAACGGCUCACCAAGGCGACGACGGGUAGCCGGCCUGAGAGGGUGACCGGCCACACUGGGACUGAGACACGGCCCAGACUCCUACGGGAGGCAGCAGUGGGGAAUAUUGCACAAUGGGCGCAAGCCUGAUGCAGCGACGCCGCGUGAGGGAUGACGGCCUUCGGGUUGUAAACCUCUGUUAGCAGGGAAGAAGAGAAAUUGACGGUACCUGCAGAGAAAGCGCCGGCUAACUACGUG